rnacentral:tRNA from 1 species
CAGAGGGUAGUUUAAAGUACAGAAUGCCAGCUUUGGGAGUUGGUGGUGGCGGUUUGAUUCCGCCCCUUUUGA